GACGAACGCUGGCGGCGUGCUUAACACAUGCAAGUCGAACGAUGAAGGAGGAGCUUGCUCCUGUGGAUCAGUGGCGAACGGGUGAGUAACACGUGAGCAAUCUGCCCUGGACUCUGGGAUAAGCGUUGGAAACGACGUCUAAUACCGGAUACGAGGCGUGGGGGCAUCCCCAACGCCUGGAAAGAACUUCGGUCCAGGAUGAGCUCGCGGCCUAUCAGGUAGUUGGUGAGGUAACGGCUCACCAAGCCUACGACGGGUAGCCGGCCUGAGAGGGUGACCGGCCACACUGGGACUGAGACACGGCCCAGACUCCUACGGGAGGCAGCAGUGGGGAAUAUUGCACAAUGGGCGCAAGCCUGAUGCAGCAACGCCGCGUGAGGGACGACGGCCUUCGGGUUGUAAACCUCUUUUAGCAGGGAAGAAGCGAAAGUGACGGUACCUGCAGAAAAAGCACCGGCUAACUACGUGCCAGCCGCCGCCGUAAGAC
rnacentral:rRNA from 1 species